rnacentral:rRNA from 1 species
UACGAAGGGGGCUAGCGUUGCUCGGAAUCACUGGGCGUAAAGCGCACGUAGGCGGAUUGCUAAGUCAGGGGUGAAAUCCUGGAGCUCAACUCCAGAACUGCCCUUGAUACUGGCGGUCUCGAGUCCGGGAGAGGUGAGUGGAACUGCGAGUGUAGAGGUGAAAUUCGUAGAUAUUCGGAAGAACACCAGUGGCGAAGGCGACUAACUGGACAUGUAUUGACGCUGAGGUGCGAAAGCGUGGGGAGCAAACAGG